GGUGGCUGUAUGUACCAGUCU
rnacentral:miRNA from 1 species